AUCGAACGCUGGCGGCAGGCCUAACACAUGCAAGUCGAGCGGUAGCACAGAGAGCUUGCUCUCGGGUGACGAGCGGCGGACGGGUGAGUAAUGUCUGGGAAACUGCCUGAUGGAGGGGGAUAACUACUGGAAACGGUAGCUAAUACCGCAUAAUGUCGCAAGACCAAAGUGGGGGACCUUCGGGCCUCAUGCCAUCAGAUGUGCCCAGAUGGGAUUAGCUAGUAGGUGGGGUAACGGCUCACCUAGGCGACGAUCCCUAGCUGGUCUGAGAGGAUGACCAGCCACACUGGAACUGAGACACGGCCCAGACUCCUACGGGAGGCAGCAGUGGGGAAUAUUGCACAAUGGGCGCAAGCCUGAUGCAGCCAUGCCGCGUGUGUGAAGAAGGCCUUCGGGUUGUAAAGCACUUUCAGCGGGGAGGAAGGCGGUGAGGUUAAUAACCUCAUCGAUUGACGUUACCCGCAGAAGAAGCACCGGCUAACUCCGUGCCAGCAGCCGCGGUAAUACGGAGGGUGCAAGCGUUAAUCGGAAUUACUGGGCGUAAAGCGCACGCAGGCGGUCUGUCAAGUCGGAUGUGAAAUCCCCGGGCUCAACCUGGGAACUGCAUUCGAAACUGGCAGGCUAGAGUCUUGUAGAGGGGGGUAGAAUUCCAGGUGUAGCGGUGAAAUGCGUAGAGAUCUGGAGGAAUACCGGUGGCGAAGGCGGCCCCCUGGACAAAGACUGACGCUCAGGUGCGAAAGCGUGGGGAGCAAACAGGAUUAGAUACCCUGGUAGUCCACGCCGUAAACGAUGUCGAUUUGGAGGUUGUGCCCUUGAGGCGUGGCUUCCGGAGCUAACGCGUUAAAUCGACCGCCUGGGGAGUACGGCCGCAAGGUUAAAACUCAAAUGAAUUGACGGGGGCCCGCACAAGCGGUGGAGCAUGUGGUUUAAUUCGAUGCAACGCGAAGAACCUUACCUGGUCUUGACAUCCACAGAACUUAGCAGAGAUGCUUUGGUGCCUUCGGGAACUGUGAGACAGGUGCUGCAUGGCUGUCGUCAGCUCGUGUUGUGAAAUGUUGGGUUAAGUCCCGCAACGAGCGCAACCCUUAUCCUUUGUUGCCAGCGGUCCGGCCGGGAACUCAAAGGAGACUGCCAGUGAUAAACUGGAGGAAGGUGGGGAUGACGUCAAGUCAUCAUGGCCCUUACGACCAGGGCUACACACGUGCUACAAUGGCAUAUACAAAGAGAAGCGACCUCGCGAGAGCAAGCGGACCUCAUAAAGUAUGUCGUAGUCCGGAUUGGAGUCUGCAACUCGACUCCAUGAAGUCGGAAUCGCUAGUAAUCGUAGAUCAGAAUGCUACGGUGAAUACGUUCCCGGGCCUUGUACACACCGCCCGUCACACCAUGGGAGUGGGUUGCAAAAGAAGUAGGUAGCUUAACCUUCGGGAGGGCGCUUACCACUUUGUGAUUCAUGACUGGGGUGA
rnacentral:rRNA from 1 species